CGGGCGUUAAGUUGCAGGGUAUAGACCCGAAACCCGGUGAUCUAGCCAUGGGCAGGUUGAAGGUUGGGUAACACUAACUGGAGGACCGAACCGACUAAUGUUGAAAAAUUAGCGGAUGACCUGUGGCUGGGGGUGAAAGGCCAAUCAAACCGGGAGAUAGCUGGUUCUCCCCGAAAGCUAUUUAGGUAGCGCCUCGUGAAUUCAUCUCCGGGGGUAGAGCACUGUUUCGGCUAGGGGGCCAUCCCGGCUUACCAACCCGAUGCAAACUGCGAAUACCGGAGAAUGUUAUCACGGGAGACACACGGCGGGUGCUAACGUCCGUCGUGAAGAGGGAAACAACCCAGACCGCCAGCUAAGGUCCCAAAGUCAUGGUUAAGUGGGAAACGAUGUGGGAAGGCCCAGACAGCCAGGAUGUUGGCUUAGAAGCAGCCAUCAUUUAAAGAAAGCGUAAUAGCUCACUGGUCGAGUCGGCCUGCGCGGAAGAUGUAACGGGGCUAAACCAUGCACCGAAGCUGCGGCAGCGACACUGUGUGUUGUUGGGUAGGGGAGCGUUCUGUAAGCCUGUGAAGGUGUGUCGUGAGGCAUGCUGGAGGUAUCAGAAGUGCGAAUGCUGACAUAAGUAACGAUAAAGCGGGUGAAAAGCCCGCUCGCCGGAAGACCAAGGGUUCCUGUCCAACGUUAAUCGGGGCAGGGUGAGUCGACCCCUAAGGCGAGGCCGAAAGGCGUAGUCGAUGGGAAACGGGUUAAUAUUCCCGUACUUGGUGUUACUGCGAAGGGGGGACGGAGAAGGCUAUGUUGGCCGGGCGACGGUUGUCCCGGUUUAAGCGUGUAGGCUGGUUUUCCAGGCAAAUCCGGAAAAUCAAGGCUGAGGCGUGA
rnacentral:rRNA from 2 species